AGUGAACGCUGGCGGUAGGCCUAACACAUGCAAGUCGAACGGCAGCACAGUAAGAGCUUGCUCUUACGGGUGGCGAGUGGCGGACGGGUGAGGAAUACAUCGGAAUCUACUUUUUCGUGGGGGAUAACGUAGGGAAACUUACGCUAAUACCGCAUACGACCUACGGGUGAAAGCAGGGGAUCUUCGGACCUUGCGCGAUUGAAUGAGCCGAUGUCGGAUUAGCUAGUUGGCGGGGUAAAGGCCCACCAAGGCGACGCUCCGUAGCUGGUCUGAGAGGAUGAUCAGCCACACUGGAACUGAGAGACGGUCCAGACUCCUACGGGAGGCAGCAGUGGGGAAUAUUGGAGAAUGGGCGAAAGCCUGAUCCAGCCAUACCGCGUGGGUGAAGGAGGCCUUCGGGUUGUAAAGCCCUUUUGUUGGGAAAGAAAAGCAGCAGGUUAAUACCCCGCUGUUCUGACGGUACCCAAAGAAUAAGCACCGGCUAACUUCGUG
rnacentral:rRNA from 1 species